rnacentral:tRNA from 2 species
GGGGCCAUAGCUCAGUUGGCUAGAGCGCCUGCUUUGCAAGCAGGAGGGCGUCGGUUCGAGUCCGACUGGCUCCA